rnacentral:rRNA from 1 species
UACGGAGGAUCCGAGCGUUAUCCGGAUUUAUUGGGUUUAAAGGGUGCGUAGGCGGCCUAUUAAGUCAGGGGUGAAAGACGGUAGCUUAACUAUCGCAGUGCCUUUGAUACUGAUGGGCUUGAAUGUACUUGAGGUAGGCGGAAUGUGACAAGUAGCGGUGAAAUGCAUAGAUAUGUCACAGAACACCAAUUGCGAAGGCAGCUUACUAAAGUAUGAUUGACGCUGAGGCACGAAAGCGUGGGGAUCAAACAGG